rnacentral:rRNA from 1 species
AUGAACGCUGGCGGCGUGCCUAAUACAUGCAAGUCGAGCGAACAGACGAGGAGCUUGCUCCUCUGACGUUAGCGGCGGACGGGUGAGUAACACGUGGAUAACCUACCUAUAAGACUGGGAUAACUUCGGGAAACCGGAGCUAAUACCGGAUAAUAUAUUGAACCGCAUGGUUCAAUAGUGAAAGACGGUUUUGCUGUCACUUAUAGAUGGAUCCGCGCCGCAUUAGCUAGUUGGUGAGGUAACGGCUUACCAAGGCAACGAUGCGUAGCCGACCUGAGAGGGUGAUCGGCCACACUGGAACUGAGACACGGUCCAGACUCCUACGGGAGGCAGCAGUAGGGAAUCUUCCGCAAUGGGCGAAAGCUUGACGGAGCAACGCCGCGUGAGUGAUGAAGGUCUUCGGAUCGUAAAACUCUGUUAUUAGGGAAGAACAAAUGUGUAAGUAACUAUGCACGUCUUGACGGUACCUAAUCAGAAAGCCACGGCUAACUACGUG